GACGAACGCUGGCGGCGUGCCUAAUACAUGCAAGUACAACGCUGAAGGAGGAGCUUGCUUCUCUGGAUGAGUUGCGAACGGGUGAGUAACGCGUAGGUAACCUGCCUGGUAGCGGGGGAUAACUAUUGGAAACGAUAGCUAAUACCGCAUAAUAUUGACUAUUGCAUGAUAGUCAGUUGAAAGGUGCAACUGCACCACUACCAGAUGGACCUGCGUUGUAUUAGCUAGUUGGUGGGGUAACGGCUCACCAAGGCGACGAUACAUAGCCGACCUGAGAGGGUGAUCGGCCACACUGGGACUGAGACACGGCCCAGACUCCUACGGGAGGCAGCAGUAGGGAAUCUUCGGCAAUGGACGGAAGUCUGACCGAGCAACGCCGCGUGAGUGAAGAAGGGUUUCGGAUCGUAAAGCUCUGUUGUAAGAGAAGAACGAGUGUGAGAGUGGAAAGCUCACACUGUGACGGUAUCUUACCAGAAAGAGACGGCUAACUACGUG
rnacentral:rRNA from 1 species